GCCGUUGUGGCGAAAUUGGCAGACGCAGCAGACUCAAAAUCUGCCGGUAGCAAUACCGUACCGGUUCAAGUCCGGUCAGCGGCA
rnacentral:tRNA from 1 species